GAUGAACGCUAGCGGCAGGCUUAACACAUGCAAGUCGAGGGGCAGCAUGAGGGUUAGCAAUAACCCCUUGAUGGGCGACCGGCGCAAGGGUGCGUAACGCGUGAGCAACUUGCCCUUAUCAGGGGGAUAACCGGUGGAAACGCCGACUAAUACCCCAUAGUAUUGAGUUUAGGCAUCUUUACUCAAUUAAAGAAUUUCGGAAACGGAUAGGCUCGCGUGACAUUAGCUGGAUGGCGGGUAACGGCCCACCAUGGCAACGAUGUCUAGGGGUUCUGAGAGGAAGGUCCCCCACACUGGAACUGAGACACGGUCCAGACUCCUACGGGAGGCAGCAGUGAGGAAUAUUGGUCAAUGGUCUGACGACUGAACCAGCCAUGCCGCGUGAAGGAGACGGCCCUAUGGGUCUUAAACUUCUUUUGUAAGGGAGCAAUAAGUUUACGUGUAGGACGAUGAGAGUACCUUACGAAUAAGCAUCGGCUAACUCCGUG
rnacentral:rRNA from 1 species